AAGGAGUUACCUAUUCUUCCCCUUCAUUGCUUUCUGAUCUCUCUUGUCUGCCACACCUGGCACAUGUGAAGAGAAAGAAGCCUUAGCAAGCUACCAAGAAGGUAGAGGAAGACUUCCUUUAUCCUCAGACAGCCUGUGGGCCCCGUGGCCUAUAGUAACUCUGGAGUAGAGGGUAGGUGCUCACUGAGGCUGGAGUGAGAGAGGGUACAGACUGUUAUUGGCUAGCAGUCUGUAGGAGGGUAGGCCCUGAGCCGUCACUAUUGCAAGUGGCCUCUGGAGUGGGACUUUAAGGUCCUGAGUCAUUAGAAGUCUCGUCUUCAGGGAGGUACUGGCUUGAUGCUCCUCACACCUGACCUAAGGAGUCUUCCAUUCAACAGCUCCAGGUGACUGGCCACCAUCCAGGAAGGAGCCCAUUGAAAAGAAGCAAAAUGAAAUGGCAAGGACACUGAAUGGCUGAGUGGCAAUGCCAAGGUUUCGGCUGAAGUCUGUCUGGUUAUAAACCCUUUGAAAUCCAGCUCUGCAAAGCAGGGCACUGUGGGAACUAGGACCUUUUAUAACAAGGUGACUUGAAUCUCAACAGAGUUCUUACUCUCCAUGGGCUUGUUGCUCAAGGCCACCAUGGGAUUCUGUUUUCUGUUCCCCAGCAGUGAAGACUCCAUGGCAACUCCAGGUGUGGACCAAUUCGUCCAGACUUAGGAUCCUGGCAUUUUGAACGCCAUUCGCAAUAACACAUGCAAAGUUCCCUAAGAGAAGAAGCCCUUCAAAGACUCCGAGGAGGCAGCUGCUGGCUUGAAAUCCCUUCGGGAUUGCAGAAAUGCAGGCGCUCACAGAAGACAGAGGCUCGGCUGCCUCUCACCUCUGCGGCUCUGAUCCAGCUGGAAAGGACCUAACUUCAGCGGCCAUGGGGGUCACCCGGGCUUUGCCUCAGCUCCUCUCAGCAGAGCUUCUGAGUGGGAGCCUCCUCACAAAUGCGGGUGACAGAGAAGUAAAGUGAGCAACGUCACUGAUGCCUUAAAGAAAGAUCCCAAGUUUGGGGUUUUCUCAUUGGCCACACCCAGUGGUAUCUGUUAUUUCUGCCUCGGCAACACUUGGUUGUGGUUCCGUGUGGAUCUGGACUUGGAGUAGAUGAGAUUCUAGUGCCAUGCCUUGCUUAAAGUGAGCCGGCAAUUUAGCCUUUUUGACCUUGAUUUCCCUCUUCUGUGAGUGGGAGGGGCGGGCUAGAUGAUCUUUGAUUCUAUGAUAAGUGAACUUUGUAAGCACAUGUCCACCUUCUCCGGUUAACAGCUGUGCCUGGGUGGGCCAUUGGGCCAAGCAGCAUCAGCUGUCGAGAUGUUUUAGGCUGAAGGGGAAGCACUCCGGAAUGGGACAAGGGCACCUGGUGUUGAAACCUGGAGUGGGUCAACUCUCUUAAGCCAGGGCCAACCUUUGCUUCUCCCUCCUGUUCCUGUUAGCCAGGAGGAAUGCACUGCACAAGGCACAACUAUGAGAUCGGCAACAUAUUGUUUGAUACUUUUAUGAACAGCUAUGAAUCAGAUUGCUGCCAAAAUUGUAAUUGCUACCUAGCUCACUGCCUCACAGAUCACCAGGUCCCUCCAGUUUGUGGAGGUCUCUUUGGGGUUAAUAAUGGGCUGGUUAUUUCGAUGUCAAAAUCUCAUCUCUAUUACCAAGAAAAUUGCUUUCUCUCUUCCUUUCCUACUAAUGGUUCUUCUAUGAGGAAAUUUAAUUUUCUUGAGCCAGGCUUUUGGGAGAGGGUCCUUGGUCUGACCUCACCUAUGGACUGUCCCUGACCUCUCCUGAGAUGGACUUGCUCUCUCCCUGGACACUAGACAACCUGCAUUGAUAGCCAUCAGUCACGGCUAAUCCUGCCUGGGCUUUUGAGAACUUGUAACGACACCCAGCACUUUGUGGUAAUUCUGGGAUUGAGGUCCUUUGUGAUUUUAUUUGUUUGGACUCCAAGCUUUGUUUCAGUCCUUCUGCCUCUCAGGACGUGUUUUCUGGCUUGGGUAAUGGGAAACUGUGACUUUUCUUCAUGCUGCCCAAGACCUUGGGAAAUGAGUGUCAUUGUAUCAGGCCAUUGCUCUCGGCCAAAUUCGUCCAUGUUGCCUUUUCUAAUCUACCUUCUAAUCUUCCUCCCCCAACACUAGUGUAGGCACCUGGUGAAAGUUAACUUGGAUUGUCCAGACUGCCUGAGGUCCCUGCUACCCUGGCUCAUUGUGACAAAGCACAUUGAUUCAUGGGAAGUAGCCUGGGAAGAGAUGUGAGUGGAUGAUUUCAAACCUCAUAUUUACCAUCGUGUCUUCUGUACUCACAGGUCAGGAGUAUGUCUCCCAGUUGAUAUGGCUUCCCAAAGUGAGGCUUGUAUGUUUGCACAUACAAGUGUGUGUUCGUGUGUACACGUGCAUAUCAUUACCCUGAACAGUGUUUCUCAGACAUUAGCAUGUUGACAAUAGCCUUGAGCACUUCAUUUAACCAUGCUACUGGCACCUACCCUCAUUUUCUGAUUCUGUGCAUGUGGAGUAGACCCUAAGGUUUAGUACCUUUUCCCUGGUUCUUGGGUGAUAUUGAUGCUACUGCCCUGGGCUGCACUCAUUCAGAAGUUCCUGGUUCUGGUGCUGUGAAUACUACAGCCAAUCACUGCAGAAUCGGAGCACAGUUUUGUGCUUAGACACAUGAAGCAGCCAGUUUUUCAAUCUGAGAGCUAUGCUGAAGACAGAGUAGAGAAUAAAGGUUAAGAAAUCAGU